rnacentral:rRNA from 1 species
UCCUACGGGACGCAGCAGUAGGGAAUAUUGCUCAAUGGGGGAAACCCCGAAGCAGCAACGCCGCGUGGAGGAUGAAGGUUUUAGGAUUGUAAACUCCUCUUGUUAGAGAAGAUUAUGGCGGUAUCUAACGAAUAAGCACCGGCUAACUCCGUGCCAGCAGCCGUGGUAAUACGGAGGGCGCAAGCGUUACUCGGAAUCACUGGGCGUAAAGAGUGCGUAGGCGGGGGAAUAAGUCAGAUGUGAAAUUCUGUAGCUUAACU